GACGAACGCUGGCGGCGUGCUUAACACAUGCAAGUCGAGCGGGGUGAUGGUGCUUGCACUAUCACUUAGCGGCGGACGGGUGAGUAAUGCUUAGGAAUCUGCCUAUUAGUGGGGGACAACAUCUCGAAAGGGAUGCUAAUACCGCAUACGUCCUACGGGAGAAAGCAGGGGAUCACUUGUGACCUUGCGCUAAUAGAUGAGCCUAAGUCGGAUUAGCUAGUUGGUGGGGUAAAGGCCUACCAAGGCGACGAUCUGUAGCGGGUCUGAGAGGAUGAUCCGCCACACUGGGACUGAGACACGGCCCAGACUCCUACGGGAGGCAGCAGUGGGGAAUAUUGGACAAUGGGGGGAACCCUGAUCCAGCCAUGCCGCGUGUGUGAAGAAGGCCUUAUGGUUGUAAAGCACUUUAAGCGAGGAGGAGGCUCUUUUGGUUAAUACCCAAGAUGAGUGGACGUUACUCGCAGAAUAAGCACCGGCUAACUCUGUGCCAGCCGCCGCGGUAA
rnacentral:rRNA from 1 species